rnacentral:rRNA from 1 species
UCACAAUGUGAAUCUGUGCAUUAUGUACCGAAUUGUAAUCUGUUGACUCUACCACCAACUGGCCGGGCCAAGUCCCUUGGAAUAGGGCAGCAAAGAGGGUGAGACUCCCGUUCGCAUGGACUGUUGAGGUAGGUGUCUUUGAGUCGAGUUGUUUGGGAUUGCAGCUCAAAGCCGGUGGUAAAUUCCAUCUAAAGCUAAACACUAGUGGGAGACCGAUAGCGCACAAGUACCGUGAGGGAAAGAUGCAAAGCCGCGCGAAAGCGCUGUUAAAGAGUACCUGAACUUGCUGAAACGGAAGCGAAGG